rnacentral:rRNA from 1 species
UACGUAGGGUGCAAGCGUUAAUCGGAAUUACUGGGCGUAAAGCGUGCGCAGGCGGUUUUGUAAGUCAGAUGUGAAAUCCCCGGGCUUAACCUGGGAACUGCGUUUGAAACUACAAGGCUAGAGUGUGGCGGAGGGGGGUGGAAUUCCACGUGUAGCAGUGAAAUGCGUAGAGAUCUGGAGGAACACCGAUGGCGAAGGCAGCCUUCUGGGCCAACACUGACGCUCAUGCACGAAAGCGUGGGGAGCAAACAGG